UACGUAGGGUGCAAGCGUUAUUCGGAAUUACUGGGCGUAAAGCGUGCGCAGGCGGCUUUUCAAGUCAGAUGUGAAAUCCCCGGGCUUAACCUGGGACAUGCAUUUGUGACUGCAUGGCUGGAGUGCGGCAGAGGGGGAUGGAAUUCCGCGUGUAGCAGUGAAAUGCGUAGAUAUGCGGAGGAACACCGAUGGCGAAGGCAAUCCCCUGGGCCUGCACUGACGCUCAUACACGAAAGCGUGGGGAGCAAACAGG
rnacentral:rRNA from 1 species